UACGUAGGGGGCUAGCGUUGUCCGGAAUCAUUGGGCGUAAAGCGCGUGUAGGCGGUUCGGUAAGUCCGCUGUGAAAGUCGGGGGCUCAACCCUCGGAUGCCGGUGGAUACUGUCGAGCUCGAGUCCGGAAGAGGAGUGUGGAAUUCCUGGUGUAGCGGUGAAAUGCGCAGAUAUCAGGAGGAACACCAAUGGCGAAGGCAGCACUCUGGGACGUGACUGACGCUGAGACGCGAAAGCGUGGGGAGCAAACAGG
rnacentral:rRNA from 1 species